AAUGAACGCUGGCGGCGCGCCUAAUACAUGCAAGUCGAGCGAGAAGACGUAGCAAUACGUUUGUAAAGCGGCGAACGGGUGAGGAAUACAUGGGUAACCUACCCUAGAGUGGGGAAUAACUAGCCGAAAGGUUAGCUAAUACCGCGUACGCUCCUUGGACUUCGGUUCAGGGAGGAAAGCGAUGCCGAGGGUAUCGCGCUCUUGGAUGGGCUCAUGUCCUAUCAGCUUGUUGGGAGGUAACGGCUCACCAAGGCUUCGACGGGUAGCUGGUCUGAGGAGGACGAUCA
rnacentral:rRNA from 1 species